rnacentral:rRNA from 1 species
GAACCGUCCAAACGUUAUUCGGAUUUAUUGGGCUUAAAGGGUAUGUAGGCGGCGCCAUCAGUCGGGUGUGAAAGCCCUCGGCUCAACCGAGGAACUGCGCCCGAUACUGUGGUGCUUGAGGGAGACAGAGGUAAGCGGAACUGAUGGUGGAGCGGUGAAAUGCGUUGAUAUCAUCAGGAACACCAGUGGCGAAAGCGGCUUACUGGGUCUCUUCUGACGCUGAGAUACGAAAGCUAGGGGAGCGAACGGGAUUAGAUACCCCGGUAGUCCUAGCUGUAAACGAUGAGCACUUGAUCGUGGGGCCCCCCAUAGCCUCUCGGUCGCAGCGAAAGUGGUAAGUGCUCCGCCUGGGGAGUAUGGUCGCAAGGCUG